AAUUAGUGUACCUAUAAUUCAAUUCUAUAUUUGUUUUGAUAUGAACUAAUAUAAUGAUAUUGUUAUUAUUUAGUUAUUGAAACCAGGGUCUAUCGUUGUAUGUGAUAACCAGCUGUUGACCAUCAAGACCAAUGAUACUUCGUUCUGCCCUCUUUUCUACACGCAGAAAUGGAUAGAAAAAAGUAUACAGGAUAAGGAAAAUCAAAAGUUGAUCCGCAAUAAUAAAUGAUAAAGUAUAUUAUUAUAACUUAUCCGGAAGUAACAGUUUAAAAGAAAGAUUUAUUUAUUUGGUUUUUUCCUUUUUUGAAUAUGAUAUUUGUUUCAGGACUACUAAAAUUGACAGACUUUAAGACAUACUCGUGCAUUAUUUCACAAAAUUCAUUCUCCAGAGAAUAAUACUAUAAUUAUUUAGAACUUGUUAAUUUCAAGUUCAAUUAUAAGUUGUUUUAUUAUUGAGUUAUAACUUGUAAUUAUUAUUGUAGACAUAAGAUAAAAUCGUUUAAUUUUCCAUAUUGUAAUUUUGUUGUUUACGUAACAUAAUAUGGCGAUUAAUUUUAUGGUAGACUUAUACAUACUAAUCUUUUAUGUUACCCUCUAUCCCCGGGACCGUGAAUUCAAUAAUUUCGUUAGUAUAAAGGAUAAACAUUUCCUAAAUCCUCCCACGAAAAAAAUAUAAAAUUUGGUGAGUAUUUUCGAAGUUCGUUUUCGUCAAGAUUCUAAUGAAUAGAACAAUCUGAUUUCCUGUUACUGCUACUUAUAUUUUCCGUAGAAAAUAUACUGUUAGACUGCGACGAUUUUCCGAAAUAGAUGAUCUUUCCUAUUCCAGGUCUAUUUAAAGAAAAAUUAUGAACAUUUGCAUUAAAAUAACUGUAUUUUAGUGACGAAGCUCUAAUAUUCACAGGUAUGUAUUCAAUAUAGUAUUCUGUCAAAAUGUUUUACCUACACACUGUUGUCUUGAUUGCAUCGAAAUACGAUAAACGCGUAUACAUAUUGAAAUAACACAUACUACAUGCUAAUUCACUAGAAAAUCACUCGUUUUUCCCUUCUUUAUUAUGUAGGGAAUUAUGACACUUUAUAUUAUUUGUUAUUUUUAAAUAAAAAUCAAAAAUUUUAGUAUGUUACAAUUUUAGAGUUGAUUAUAAAAGCGGUACUUUGUUUCCGCUUGAGUAUAUAAUGUUGGUUACAUUGUAUAUAUAUAUUACGAGUUUAAUUAAAUAUUUGAGAAACUCUUUUAUCUUGCCUAUUUGUUCUUUAUAUGGUCUCCAGCCCUCCACAGCUUAUUAUCCGGGUCUGACUACACAUACGGUACAAAAGUCUAUUGAAAUGCUUUGAGUAUCUUUUAGAACAUUGCUUACAUAAUUUAACAAUUUUAUUACAUUUUUAAACCAAUGGAAAAAUUAACAUCAUUGAAAAUGUUAAUAAAAUAAUUUUUCGACACUUCCAUAAUGAGUUGUAUAUUUUAAGAAAUUAUUAAAAAAGAUGCAACAGCUAUUCUGUAAACUGUCUAUCAAUUUUAGCCACAUUUUAGCAAUAAACACUGAAUAAAACGGUGCAUUUGGAAAUACAUUUCACUAUUUUCCAAUAAACUAAAACAAUCUUUCAGUGGUUUAAAUACGUCCCUUGCCUUAUAAUAAUCUCAAAUAGUAUAGUUAUAUAUUAUCUCGCUGGAUUACAAGAAAAUGUCUCCUUUAGACUUGCAUCUGGACAGACGGAUUUUUUUUUUCCGAUCAUACCUAUGCUUAACUUACCCUACUAAACAUAUACUAAACAAACUUAACAUUACAUAUUGUACAUAAAAAACUUAUCCUAUAACAUAAGAAUGUGUAUUUUUAUUUUCUAACUUAACCUAUGGUUUCCAAUAGAAGGAACUAGAAUGGUUAUAAUAAUAUGCAAUGCGCAAGCGUAUAUUGCUUCGAAUAUAUUCCAACUGUUAUCGAAGAUGCCCGAUGAUUGUGCGACUCAUUUUAUCUUGAUAAUAUCAAAGGGAAAUCAUUUCUUGCUGUAGUUUAGUCGAGGACGGUAGUCGAAACAGUGAACAUGAACUCUACAAAAAUCUGCAGUUUGGGUAAUCGAAUAAAACCAACGAACGAGCAGUUUACAGAAAUUGCUGGAUACAAAUACUCUUUCUCCUAUAACAGAUCUGUUUCGCGAUAAUAAAAUGCUUAUUAAGANAAUUUAAUUUACGAAAAUUUAAUUUUCUAAAUUCGUUUUUGGCCGAAGCGGAGUAAAAGCAAAAUUACCUUAUCGUUUGGACACUACGAACAAAAUGGGCCAACGAAUUGUAUAAGUUAUUAAAAAGGAAGCUUUGGAAAUUAUAAAUAAAAAAGAUAAAAACCCUGUAGCUAUUCCGUACAUGUUAAGGUUAUAUAGUGUCGGCGUUUGGAUAAAUACCGGACAAGUCGGAAUUAGUCAUAAUUGGAAUAAAACAAAUACGUCACAGAAACAAAGUUCGUUACAUAUUGCAUUCUAUUCAUAUUUGCAUCUAUUAAUAUAGAUUUAAAUUAUAAGAUAAAAAUUAAGAUGGAUUGAAUUAAAACUACUCCUAGUAAAAAUAAAGAAAAACGGGUUUUUUGUGUGUAAUAAUGUAUAAUAUAUGUAUA
rnacentral:lncRNA from 1 species